rnacentral:lncRNA from 1 species
UGUUCUUUUGCUCUUCGAACUAAAUCUUGCUGCUGCUUACUCUUUGGGCCUUCGCUACCUUUACGACCUGUAACACUCACUGCCAAGGUGUGUAGCUUCACUCCUCAAGUCAGCGAGACCACCAACCCACCGGGAGGAGCUAACAGCUGUGCUACGCGCCACCUGUAAGAGCUGUAACACUCGCUGCGAAGGUCGGCGGCCUCACGGGGAGGAAGAAACAGCUCCCGACGCGCCACCUGUAAGAGCUUAACGCUCACUGUGAAGGUCGGCGGCCUCACGGGGAGGAAGAAACAGCUCCCGACGCGCCACCUGUAAGAGCUUAUGGCUCACUGUGAAGGUCUGCGGCCUCACCGGGAGGAAGAAACAGCUCCCGACGCGCCACCUGUAAGAGCUCACUGAGAAGGUCUCCGGCUUCACUCCUGAAGUCAGGCAAGACCACGAACCCGCCAGAAGGAAGAAACUCCGGACGUAUCUGAACAUCAGAAGGAACCAAUUCCGGACACACUGUUUGCAGGGAGGUGUAGACGCUGAUCACCGUUUCCAGUCAUUUUAAAAAUUCAGGAAGCAAUGAGGCUCCCCAAGAACACACCUGAGGAAAAGGACAGGCGCACGGCGGCCCUACAGGAGGGUCUGAGGCGGGCAGUCUCUGUGCCGCUGACGCUGGCGGAGACGGUGGCCUCGCUGUGGCCGGCCCUGCAGGAACUGGCCCGGUGUGGGAACCUGGCCUGCCGGUCAGACCUCCAGGUGGCGGCCAAAGCCCUGGAGAUGGGCGUGUUUGGCGCAUAUUUCAACGUGCUCAUCAACCUGAGGGACAUCACAGACGAGGCAUUUAAGGACCAG